AUACCGGUGGCGAAGGCGGCCCCCUGGACAAAGACUGACGCUCAGGUGCGAAAGCGUGGGGAGCAAACAGGAUUAGAUACCCUGGUAGUCCACGCUGUAAACGAUGUCGAUUUGAAGGUUGUUCCCUUGAGGAGUGGCUUUCGGAGCUAACGCGUUAAAUCGACCGCCUGGGGAGUACGGCCGCAAGGUUAAAACUCAAAUGAAUUGACGGGGGCCCGCACAAGCGGUGGAGCAUGUGGUUUAAUUCGAUGCAAC
rnacentral:rRNA from 1 species